rnacentral:lncRNA from 1 species
CAGAAACAACAGGGACAGAGUGGACCAGAACGUCUCUGAGCGCCUUCUCCCAGCUGGGAUUUCCCAGGGUUCUCAGGCUUCUCAUGUGAACCCGGGGCAGCUGUAAAGACUGCUGAGAAACAGCCAAGGGAAGACCUGGGGUUUUCUCAGAGGGAUGCCAGCGGCACCGACAAGAAGGGAGCACAGGGUGGCACCUCUGUCUUCGAGGUGCUUGGUCUCCGGCCUGAGAUGCCAGAGUGGAACCAACCCACGUGCUGUGCGGACUCCUCCGUGGUGCUGAGAGCAGUUUUCACACGCAGUGGGAGAGCUUGCGCCCUGUGUCUUGUCCCCCUGCCCCCCUCGACUCCUGGAUCUUCUCUGAUAGAGCAAGUGUGUUCCUACCCUUCUGUGUAAGCUCUCAGAGCAUGUCCAAGGGGCAUGACUCUGAUGACUCAGUCACUCACUUGGUGGCUGGCAGGCUGGUUCCACUGGACCCUUGCCAUGCUGGUGGGGGCAACUUUCCCUCCUAGCAGAAUGGACACUUCCUCUGUAUUUGGCGUCUCAGUCUCUGUCCAUCUGGCUGUGUGUGACCAUGGGCAGAGGUACUGAAUGCCUUUUGUGCAGUCAUCUGUGUCCUGCAGCUCUCAGGGCCGACUGGAUUCAUGAGGCAGAUCGCCGAAUGUCACCCUCAGCCAGAGGGUGGCAUGUUUCUCCUGUACCACGAAGGCUGGAGGGAGGUGCCUGGCCAGCUCCUUGGUCCUUCUGCCAAUCUGUCCUCAGAUUAGCUUUCUUCUUCCUGUUCUUAAGAUGCUACUGAGCAUGUUCCAGGGUGGAAGGAGAGGGGAUGCCAAAAGCAGAGCCGCUUGCCAGCGGGGUGUGUGCUCCUCCUUGGAGGACAAGUGGCUUCCUGGAUGUCAUCUCCUUCAGCCACACCUGUUUCCUUGAGCGACACAGGUGGAGCUGUGUUGCUUGUGCCUCUCACAGUGCCUGGUGCACAGAUGGCACUCAGUAUGUGCCUGCAGCGGCAGCUGCCAGUUGUCUGCAAAUCCAUCCAGACUCACGGGGAGGCUGCUGA